GUUUGUUCCAAUUUCGGUGAUCACUUAAAACUGACUUUUUAUGUUUUAGAUUCCAUUCAACCGGGCGUGUGUUUCAAAUUUUCACGCUCUCUUUUGCUCAAUAGGCGUUUGUUAUCAUACGAAAGGUGGACUUGCUCGGUAUAAUAGGAAAAUGUUCUUCAAUAUGGACAAAUCGUGGUAGAAUUACGAUAGAAAUACCAAUUAAGUUAUGAAUAGAAUAAGUACGAUAUGUAUGGCGUGAUAUUGAAAUUUAACUUCGAUGAAAUACUUAAAGGCAGUCAAAAUCAUGGCUGUCUUGUAUGUAUUGCGAUUUUUAUAGUUGAAAUUUGGAUUUUAAAAUCAAUAUAUAGAUACCUUUGGUCGAUAUUGAGAAUUGAAUGCUGUGUGCGGAAUAAAAACAGUUCGGAUUUAUGCGAUCACAUCUACAAUUUUCUCAAAAUAUAAUGCAACGACAUUCAAGAACACGAAAGUAAAGACUACUUAUUUGCGAGUAACUUCAUUGUCUGAGGUUACAAAAGUGUCAAAAGCAAGUAACUCCAGAGUGGAGAAAAGCCGAACAGGUUGAAUGUUGAAGUACAAAGAGUGUCCUCUUUUAAGACAGUAAAACGUCCAGUUAUUAAGAAGAGAAAUGAAGAUAAAGGUUUCAAACUAUUUUCCGGACCAAGUAAACCAAAACAUAAUGGAUUGACUUUAGACAUUUUGCAAUAAUUGACGCCAUUUAAAAAUGGCGUCGAUUUAGUGACGCAAGAGUCACGUGAUCUGCUGCUGAACUGCAUUAAACUACACCCAAGUGUUCACGAAGUAUUUUUUCCGGAAGCGACGAAAGAUCCCCGAAUAACCGACGAAGAUUUACGGGGAUUUCCGAUUCACAGCCUGGCGGUUGCAGUCAUUUGCGAGGCCAUUUCAAAAGGAGAGGAUCCGUACAAGUUUUACUGUAUGAUCGAAAAGAAUAGCUUGGAAAGUGUGCUGACUGAACUGUAUACUAGCGUACAUUAGAAGAAAUUGGGCCGGAGUGGGCGGAGCGUAUUAUUGAGCGCAUGACGGAGCCCUCUUGGACGAUGGAAUGGGUGCAAAAAUAGUCCGCGGUCAUGUGACAGAGGAGGAAUACAACAUGGCGAUGAACACACUGUUCGUGAAAUUGCACAUGUUGGACCCGCAGUCUGUCAUUCCGACCUUUCAUCUGCUGAAUCACAUCCGAGCUCUCCCGGAAUGCAACCUAGAGCUGGCCACCCGGGACUACCUCGGAGGCCCACUGGACGCUGCGGCACUCAGCGCGCAUGCGCAGACGGCCGUAACAAAGGAGACCAUGCCUAGCAACGGCGCGUCGGGCAUGAGCCUCGACAAAAUCGAAGUUUUUUUACGGCAUUGACGUCGAGGAGUUUAUAAUGAUGGAAGCGCGUAAGGUUGGCGUAUGGAACGGGCGACGUCCCGACAAUAAAAGAACUAGUGACCUCCUGGAUUGAUGCAGCGUCAUGUAAUCUCGUGAUCACAUUUGGCGGUUUCCGGCUCUUGUCGAAAAAAUGCGCAGGCAUCCAGAUGUCGCAUCCGGAAAAAGCUGGCAUACCCUAUGGAAUAAGCAUCAAUUGUUCGUCUGUGACAACGAAAUGAACAAACGCAUGCGUUAGUUGUGACGAUGUUACAAAUAGGUUUCGUUGAUUCGGACCUUUUAUCUCAUGACGUCGAGGUCUGGACGGAUUUAUACAAUUACACAUGUGUUUUGAUUUUCUGGGAGAAAAUCUCCAGUGUGCUUCCGUAUUGAAUGUAAUAUUGUUCAUCCGACUUAUUUUGUACCCAAAUCAUCAUGUUUGUGUUCUGUGAAUGUUUUAAUUGUUAAGCGUACAUUUUUGGUGUGAACAAAUGCGUAUAAUGCGGUAUCGAUGUAUAAGUUAUGCUAUUCACACAUUUUUGAAUGUAUGACAAGUAUUGAUAAAACAGUUCGUGUGUUAUACGUAACGAUUUAAUAUCAUACAUCAAUGACAAGCGAUAUUUACACGUAUUCGCUUCAACUCUUGUUAAUUAUGGUAGAUCUAAUAAGUCACAGGCUUAUCAGGGACGACAUGUUCCGCCCAAACUGGAUUCUCGCUAAGAAGAGACUUUCUUUAAACACAAAUACCAUAAAAGCGGAGACUGUCGUCCCUGAUUUGCAUGUUAACAUGCAUUAAACCCAGUUUUCCCAAAACGCUGCUCUUAUUAUUCUUUUUAUCGCAUAAUGUUCAAAGUUGUGCCUUUGUUAUU